AGAGUUUGAUCCUGGCUCAGGACGAAGCUGGCGGCGCGCCUAACACAUGCAAGUCGAACGGAGAUUUUAGGAGCUUGCUUUUGAAAUCUUAGUGGCGGACGGGUGAGUAACGCGUGAGUACCCUGCCUUUCAGAGGGGGAUAACGGCUGGAAACGGCCGCUAAUACCGCAUGACAUAUUGAGAUCGCAUGGUCUUGAUAUCAAAGGAGCAAUCCGCUGGAAGAUGGACUCGCGUCCAAUUAGCUAGUUGGUGAGGUAAAGGCCCACCAAGGCGACGAUUGGUAGCCGGACUGAGAGGUUGAACGGCCACAUUGGGACUGAGACACGGCCCAGACUCCUACGGGAGGCAGCAGUGGGGAAUAUUGCACCAAUGGGGGAAACCCUGAUGCAGCGACGCCGCGUGAGGGAAGAAGGUUUUCGGAUUGUAAACCUCUGUCCUUGGUGAAGAAGGAAGACGGUAGCCAAAGGAGGAAGCCACGGCUAACUACGUGCCAGCAGCCGCGGU
rnacentral:rRNA from 1 species